rnacentral:lncRNA from 1 species
UUGUUGAGAUUAACGGCAUCAAAAGCAACAUUGCAUCUUCUUCUCAUUUGAGUUGGCGUUAUCCGAUUGGCCUGCAAGUGAUCGAAGUCUUGAAGGAUUGAGUUAGGGUUACGGAUCUUGUCGUUGAAGAAGGUGAGAGCUUGGGUGCAGUAGUUGAGUUGAUCGAGAGUGAGAGAGAUUCUCGGUGGAAAAUCGGGUGAGAAAUUGAACUCCGACUCGGAGGGGUUGCCGGAGGAGGAGGAGGCCAUGGUGGAUGAGCGGCGGAGACGGAGACGGUUAGAGAGGUGGUUCCCCAGCACAGCGACUUUGUUAAUCCCAGACUUAGAUUUUCUUUGUGUAGCGUGAUUCCACUAUCAUAACAAAUAGGAAUGGCAAUGAAUACCCGAUCCACGAUCCGUGGUUAUUGGGUUCGAGUAAUACAUUACCCGGACUUGCUAUCCCUAAUAGUACACUAUAAUUGAUCAAUGCUCUAUUAUUAUUAGUAGUAUCAGUAUCAACAUAGAAAAGAAUGUAUCAAUGCUCUUUUAUUUUGAUUUUCUUUAAUCUUAUUGCAAAUCUUCUUUUGAUGUUUUAUGGUAAAUUAUAUGUAUUUUUUCAAACCUGUUAUCAUUUAUUUAAGUAUUUUUUUACAUUAUUGCUGUAUAUGCAUAUACUGCAAGCAAAGUGCAAUCAUCUGCUAUUACUAAGUGAUAAAUCAUUGCACCAGCCCAACUGAGUUAUAAAGAAUAUAAUGUUAACCAAAUUCACUGUGACACAUAAUGAGUUUAUUAUAGAGAAAGUUUCAUAGAAUUAAUGUAAAAAAUGAUGAAUUAUGUAUCCAAGUGAACCACAUAUAUAUUUCCAUACAAUGCUAAUCCAGAAUCUAGUUUCCUCAUGGCUAACCAACAGAUAAAGGAAUGGUUGGGUAUAUUGAAUUUCCCCCAAAAAAAAAACAAUGAGGUUAAAAUUUGUGCCUUGACCGUGUAAAUUUUUUUACAUUUUCAGCACAUCAUCCACUAUUGAUUUGUAAUACUUUUGUUUGAAAGUCAAUAAUAGUUAACAUAUGAAUGGUGUAGAUUCACUGAGAGUGUUAGUCUGUUAGUAUAUACAUAUUAAAUCCAACAUUAUUUGGCCAAUGUACUAUGGUAGACUAACCAAUAAGCCAAUUGCAAGCUGAAUGGAUAGUAUAGUCUUGAUGACAUCUUUUCAGAAACUAGUUAACAACCCUGGAAAUAGAUUUAAUACUUGAAAUCAAUGUAUUAGAACUAGUGGAUCAAGAAACAAUUUCUUAUGGUGAACUUAUGAAGUGACAAAUGAGAAACAUACUGUAAUAUAAAUACAGUGCAAAUAUUCAAACAAAUUAUGCAUAUAACUCAAGAAAUAGUAAUAGCAAGCAGAUAGGAGAAACAAUCUAAAGCAUGUCCUUUUACUCUGGUUUAUACUUUAUACAAUAGAAUAGCAUAAAAGGGGAAUAGCAUAAACUGGACUUUUCAUUGAUUCAAGGUAAACCUUAACAUUUUGCUUAGGUUUUACAAAAAUAUUCAUCACAUGCUGGACAAGCAUGUAGAAAAUAACAACAACCCUAGGAAUUGGCUAAAAAAAUGAAGAAUAACAGGGCUAAGUUUAUAAACUAGUAUUGGCUCUUUUCUAUAUACAGUGCUAACUACUUGCAUAAAUGCAUAAAUUCCCAUUUUUGUAUAAUUUUUUGAGAAAUCAAAUCAAAAUAUUAAGGAAGAGAAAUAAUUUGACACCCUUAUGCUAGGGAUUUUGUCGGGUAGAAUCAUCUUCGCUAUAACUGCAAGGAUCGGAAGAUUUCCGAGAACACCAGUGAUCUGGAACACUAAGAAAAUAUGUAGACAUAAACUUUCUGAAUCUCUUUUUGUACUCUAUUGGAGAGAUUACAGUUGGUAAGACAUUCUUGGGCACAACAAGUGAUGACUUCAUCCAUGUCUCAAGAUGCUUGUCCCAGGUAUACUGCCUCAGAUAAUCGAUAAUCCCGCAAACUAUCUCGCCCUUCUUUGAAUCUACUCCGACAAGUAAGGAGUAAUCCAUCACAUUUACUGACUGAAUAUUGAGCAAACGGUGAAUCAUAUAAGAUAGUCAGGAAAUAAAUUCCAAAAAAGAACAAAUUUCAAGGAAAAUAUGAACACAAGGGCAACAAAUUCAACAGCAGAUAUAUCAAUGUGACAAUUUAGGCUCAAAGAUAGAAUGCUUUUGAUGCAGACUUACAUUGAGAAAACUUGUAUCAUUCCAAAUAGCCCGUUCAAGAUGGCACUUUGCUUUAUGACUGACAUAUAAUGGAGAAGAGUUCAUGUCAUUCACAAAGUUCUGAUCCAAAAGAACAUCUCCAGCACCAUCAGCAGCAGAUUUGUACCGAGCAAAAAGAGCACCUUUAAGAUCAUACUGGCGAGUAAUAUUGCGAUUGUAAGUAAAUGGUGCAACUCUAUUUCGUUUAUAUUUCUCUCUCUCGUAACAAUUUUUUUCCAUUUUUAAUGUUGAUUUACAACUUUAAAAACGUUGCUUAUUUAACUUACCAUUGCGAUAUAAGAACAUGCUUAUUUCGCUAAGAACUGUUUUUUUAUUACCAUUGUGGGUGCUCUUAGGGAACUUGUUAACAAAACCCUAAAUAUAUUAUUACCUCAAUGAAGCUUGCAUUGAUAUAGCCAAGUGCUGCAGGUCUAUAAUCUGUGCUUGAUUUGAGAACAACCCUAUUGUUGUCAACUAAAUCAAGAGAAAUUAAAACAAAAUAAAUAAAAAAAUGCAGAACAUUAAAUCUUAAUAAUAAAAUUAUGAAGUGUUGGAGAGUGAAAAUUUUACAUGGAACUACAUCAGUAUAACGAUUUUUGUUGAGAUUAACGGCAUCAAAAGCAACAUUGCAUCUUCUUCUCAUUUGAGUUGGCGUUAUCCGAUUGGCCUGCAAGUGAUCGAAGUCUUGAAGGAUUGAGUUAGGGUUACGGAUCUUGUCGUUGAAGAAGGUGAGAGCUUGGGUGCAGUAGUUGAGUUGAUCGAGAGUGAGAGAGAUUCUCGGUGGAAAAUCGGGUGAGAAAUUGAACUCCGACUCGGAGGGGUUGCCGGAGGAGGAGGAGGCCAUGGUGGAUGAGCGGCGGAGACGGAGACGGUUAGAGAGGUGGUUCCCCAGCACAGCGACUUUGUUAAUCCCAGACUUAGAUUUUCUUUGUGUAGCGUGAUUCCACUAUCAUAACAAAUAGGAAUGGCAAUGAAUACCCGAUCCACGAUCCGUGGUUAUUGGGUUCGAGUAAUACAUUACCCGGACUUGCUAUCCCUAAUAGUACACUAUAAUUGAUCAAUGCUCUAUUAUUAUUAGUAGUAUCAGUAUCAACAUAGAAAAGAAUGUAUCAAUGCUCUUUU